UACGAAGGGGGCUAGCGUUGCUCGGAAUUACUGGGCGUAAAGCGCACGUAGGCGGAUUGUUAAGUCGGGUGUGAAAUCCUGGAGCUCAACUCCAGAACUGCCUUCGAUACUGGCGAUCUCGAGUCCGGGAGAGGUGAGUGGAACUGCGAGUGUAGAGGUGAAAUUCGUAGAUAUUCGCAAGAACACCAGUGGCGAAGGCGGCUCACUGGCCCGGUACUGACGCUGAGGUGCGAAAGCGUGGGGAGCAAACAGG
rnacentral:rRNA from 1 species